GAUGAACGCUGGCGGCGUGCUUAACACAUGCAAGUCGAACGGUGAAGCAGGAGCUUGCUCUUGUGGAUCAGUGGCGAACGGGUGAGUAACACGUGAGCAACCUGCCCCUGACUCUGGAAUAAGCGCUGGAAACGGCGUCUAAUACUGGAUAUGUGAUGUGACCGCAUGGUCUGCAUCUGGAAAGAAUUUCGGUUGGGGAUGGGCUCGCGGCCUAUCAGCCUGUUGGUGAGGUAAUGGCUCGCCAAGGCGUCGACGGGUAGCCGGCCUGAGAGGGUGACCGGCCACACUGGGACUGAGACACGGCCCAGACUCCUACGGGAGGCAGCAGUGGGGAAUAUUGCACAAUGGGCGGAAGCCUGAUGCAGCAACGCCGCGUGAGGGAUGACGGCCUUCGGGUUGUAAACCUCUUUUAGCAGGGAAGAAGCGAAAGUGACGGUACCUGCAGAAAAAGCACCGGCUAACUACGUGCCAGCCGCCGCCGUAA
rnacentral:rRNA from 1 species